rnacentral:sRNA from 1 species
AGUCUAUGAUAAAUCUGGUCAUUUAGUGUUGAUGUUUACAUUACAAAUCGAAGUUGAAGUCACGUAUUUAGAAUAAUUUAGAUCUAAAACCACUGAGUCACUGAGUGAGUGGCACAGUCAGUGUGAUCUUCAACUGUUCAACUGACAACUUCAUUCAAGAAUUCUAGAGUCUAUACUCUAUACCAUAUUAUUUCUAGACUAGUCCAAUUCUUAAUUUAGAAAAUAUGGUCUGAUUAAUAAUCAAUGCGUGCAACUAUGUGGCGGAACGGAUCCAGCGAUGCAUGAAAAGUGAUGCAGAGCAGGGCCCUGUGACCCCUAUUAGUGAGCGAGCUUGUGCAAUGCACAAAACUAAGAAACACCACCACCAUAAUGACAAAUAUCAAGAAGAUCCGACAGUGUCAGGUCAACAUAAUGGAUCUCCUGGAAAGUCUCAAGGGAAUGUAAAAAAAAAUGGCUUUGAUGUAGACUAGAAGAGUAUCCAAUGCCAUACAUAUGAGGAUCACAUUUUGUUUUAAAUUAGUGCUAAAUAAUAAAGUGAGCUAAAUAUCUAUCAUCCAGAUAUCAUUUUAUAUUCCUGAUAAUCACUACUAAAUUCUCCAACAUCUAAGAAAUGACUGUAGCUUAUAACUAUAAGUAUUCAUUGUAGGACACUUGGUGAAACUUUCUUGCUUUAAAUUUUCAUUACUAUCAAAGUUGAAAAUACUGUUAAUUUUGACUAAAAAUAAAAAUGUAUACUUUAAGUAGUUGUCAAAGAAUUCUUCCUGUGUCUACUGUUAUGAAGUUUGUAUUUGAAAAGGUAUCGUUUGAUACCUGAGGUAUAAACGGAUGAGCAAAGAUAUGCAAGUUUGAACAUGAAGAAUUUGUUGAUACACUUUUGGAUACAUGACAGUUCUGUGUGUGUCGCCCAAUGUUAUAAUGGAGUUCCACUUGGUCAUCCUCUUUACAGUUGAAUUUUUUAAAACUUCUUUCUUUUUUAAGUUAAUUAUCAAAACAACGAGAGACUUUUUUCCCUACAGAACUUUUGUGUAAUAGUUGAAAAUCAAAAUUAUUUAUUCUAAAAUAAACUUGAUGAAAUAUUAAAAUGA